UCUUAUAAAAUAAACUCGUCAAAUCCAAAUUUAGAAGCGAUGGAUGUCCGUUUUUAUUACAGAACAUAUUGUGGCUUUGGGAAUGAAUUAUAGGAAUUUAGAUUUUAUUUAUGUAAUACUGUAGCUACCAACAAAGGAGUCAGUAAUCAAAACAUGCAGUACUAUAAACUAAUGGAAUAGAUUCAGAGAUCUCCAAGGAUAGGCCAUUCUGUGGUUGUAUUGCCAAAUUUUUUUCUUCCAUCUAGAAUGUAUUAAAGAGAAAAGGUGAGACAAAAAACACAAUUGAAACAAAAGAAAAAACAUGAAAGUUUAAUAAGAAAAAUGAUGGAUCUUUGAAAAAACAAGAGAGAUACAAAGAAUAAUAAUGGAUAAAGCAGAUUAAGGAAUUGGGAACAAAAAGAGAAAAACUUAGGAGUUGAGGAAAAUGACAAAUGAGUACCUUGAACCCUCAUCUGACAUCUGAAAGGUAAAGAGAAGACUUCUAAAUUAAUAAUAAUGUUCAAUUUUUUAUUUAGUGUACAAACUAUUAUAUAAAGUAUUUCAAUAUAAUUUGAAAUUGA